GAAAAUUCAUCCUCUUCCAAAGCAUAAACUCAAUCUGAAAAAUUGAUGUUUACUUUUCCAUUGUAGAAGAAGGAGAACACAUCUAGUACUAUCACCAUCUCCAUCUCCGUUGGGUUAGAAGCUUUUUAUGGUUAAUUAAAGUAGAAUCAAGAGGAGGCUAGUUUGAAGUUCAUCAAACCAUUGAAGAACUUGAUCUUGGUUUUGAUUUUCUGAAAUUUUGUAUGGAAUUAAUCUUGCUCAAAGAUCCAUUUUCAGGUUAGCUCUGCGGUGGAGAGGAUGCCUACAUGUAUUAUGUGUUGCAGACGAGCAAGGACUUCUUUUGGAAAUACAUUUUGUAAAUUUUGGAAAUACAUUUUGUAAAUUAGAUAUUUGAAAUGAUUUU